AACGUUUUACAGAGCACACCCUGUGCCGGUCACAUAAGCUGCUGCAGGAGGCUCCUGUGUCGGGGGUCCCCAUUCUUCACCCUCCACAGAUGCAUCCCCUUCUCCACGUGGAGACUCCUCAGUUCCUUCCAUUGAAGAGACAGCGCUGCCUCUCUGGACCCUUGACUCUGAGUCAGGCCAUGUGACUUGUUCUGGUCAAUGGGAUGCCUGCUGCUGUGACACCUGAGGAGGCUCAGGACAGACUUGUGUUUUUCUGUGCCACUGUUACGAGCGUGUGCCUGGGCUCUGGCUGAGGGAUGAGGUGUGAGGCGAAUCAUUCCAGAUGGGGCCACCCUGGACCAUCCAGCAGCAGCUUCUCUGGACAGGUGCCUUCGUUUGCAAGAUGGUGCCAUUUGUCCAGGCUACGGCCAUCGUGGCAGAAAUUCUCACCAUGACCCGCAUUGCUGUGGAAACUUGUGCAUCCUUUUAAGACGAAGCGGCAAUAUACCCACCGAAGGGCGUUCACGACGCUGGGUGUGGUCUGGUUGGUGGCAGUCAUCGUGGGAUCACCCAUGUGGUACGUGCAACAACUUGAGGUAGAUGUAGACUCGAGACUGGGAUCGAUAAUCUUAUUGUUCAACUAUUUUCUCCUCCUAACAAUAAACAUUUUCCUUCCUGCAAGAGUA